UCCGUUAUGGUCUAGUGGCUAGGAUUUGUCGCUCUCAGUAUUCACAUAGUGAUUACAAGCGCCGACAAGGCCGGGGUUCAAUUCCCCGUGACGGAA